rnacentral:rRNA from 1 species
UACAUAGGAGGCAAGCGUUAUCCGGAUUUAUUGGGCGUAAAGAGCGUUGAGGCGGUCUUGUAAGUUGGACGUGAAAGCUCCUGGCUCAACCAGGAGAGGUCGUUCAAUACUGCAGGACUUGAGGACAGCAGAGGGGGGUGGAAUUCCCGGUGUAGUGGUGAAAUGCGUAGAUACCGGGAGGAACACCAGUGGCGAAGGCGGCCCCCUGGGCUGUUCCUGACGCUGAAUGCGAAAGCUAGGGGAGCAAACGGGAUUAGAUACCCGCGUA